rnacentral:lncRNA from 1 species
GAGAAUAUAUAGUAUGAUAGAGUGUGUAGAAGGGAGCACUCAGUGGUUCAUGCAAUAUUUUUACUCGGAGGCCCUCUUUGGAAAUCCUAAGACUGUUCACUCUCUAAUAUCUAAUAAAAUUUCUAUGUAUUCUGACAUAACUACAAACCUUUGGACUUGUUACAAUCUUAUUAUAUCAACUUGAUUUUAAAGAUCUAGUUGAGCAAGUCUGGG